AUUGAACGCUGGCGGCAUGCUUUACACAUGCAAGUCGAACGGCAGCGCGGGCUUCGGCCUGGCGGCGAGUCGGCGACGGGCGGGUAAUGCAUAGGAAGGUGCCCAGUAGUGGGGGAUAGCACGGCGAAAGCCGGAUUAAUACAGCAUACGACCUGAGGGUGAAAGCGGGGGACCGAAAGGCCAAGCGCUAUUGGAGCGGCCGACGUCGGAUUAGCUAGUUGGUGAGGUAAAGGCUUACCAAGGCGACGAUCCGUAGCUGAUCUGAGAGGGCGACCAGCCACACUGGGACUGAGACACGGCCCAGACUCCUACGGGAGGCAGCAGUGGGGAAUCUUGCACAAUGGGGGCAACCCUGAUCCAGCCAUGCCGCGUGCGUGAAGAAGGUCUUCGGGUUGUAAACCGCUGUUGUUCGGGAAGAAAACAUCUGUACGAAUAUCCCGAGGUGAUGACGGUACCUGAAGAAUAAGCACCGGCUAACUACGUG
rnacentral:rRNA from 1 species